CCAUGAGUCCAUUCCAGAGCCAACCCAGGCUAUGUCUGGAAAGCACACAGAUAAAGCCCAGCAAAGAACAUAAAAAACAAGUCCACACUGGUUUCUGAGAACUCCAGGGGCUACUGGAAGGAGACACUUCCUCUUUCCUCUGCGGGGAGCCUGGCUGUCAAGAAAUAGGGGGAGCCCAGCAUCUGCUGAAGUGAAGACCCAGAUUGAUGGAGAGGUUUUCCUGAGGAGCAGCUGGAAGAGCGUGAACUCUGCACAUCUCCUCCAGCUAUUCUAAGUCUCCUAGAAAGUUUCUCUCUUCUGUUUGGAAAUUCUGCUAAGCUCUGCUGCAGAUGAAGAGCCCCUGGUAACCACUGUUCUACUUUCUGUCUCUACGAAUGACUCCAGAAUUUUACAUGGAUCCUCCAAGAUACAAUUCACUUGCUCAUACCCUGAAGACAAGCCAAGUUAUCCUUCAGACAGGAAAUGGGAUGUUGGUGGUGGCCCCAAGAAGUGCACAGACUCUGAACUGGAAGAUGAGAGACCACUGUGGAAGGGAUCCAGAGACAAAUGAACAGAACUGGUGUCAGUAUUCUGUGCUCCUGAGACACCUGAGCUCAUCUCCAAGAAUAAUUUCUAUCCUCAACUCAUACCAAAGGCAUAGCAUGGGUGCAGACUGUGAGGCUUUUCGAGAUCUGUCAGGAGGCGGACUUGAGGAGUAGCACAAUAGUGAGCAAUGUUGGGAAAAGACCAAUUACAAAAUCCUUCAUCUCCAUCAGCUUUAGUAGAAGUUAAUGGGCUAGGUGAGUAGUGGAGCAUCAGGUAUGUUUUCCAUGUGCCUUUUCUUCCUGUACACAUUCCUUACAGACUCUUCCUAUACUGGCCAGUAGAAAGGUCUAUCAGAGCCCCC
rnacentral:lncRNA from 1 species